CAUGCAAGUCGAGCGAAUCCUUCGGGGUUAGCGGCGGACGGGUGAGUAACGCGUGGGAAUAUGCCCUUCUCUACGGAAUAGCCUCGGGAAACUGAGAGUAAUACCGUAUACGCCCUUUGGGGGAAAGAUUUAUCGGAGAAGGAUUAGCCCGCGUUGGAUUAGGUAGUUGGUGGGGUAAUGGCCUACCAAGCCGACGAUCCAUAGCUGGUUUGAGAGGAUGAUCAGCCACACUGGGACUGAGACACGGCCCAGACUCCUACGGGAGGCAGCAGUGGGGAAUCUUAGACAAUGGGGGCAACCCUGAUCUAGCCAUGCCGCGUGAGUGAUGAAGGCCUUAGGGUUGUAAAGCUCUUUCAGCUGGGAAGAUAAUGACGGUACCAGCAGAAGAAGCCCCGGCUAACUCCGUGCCAGCAGCCGCGGUAAU
rnacentral:rRNA from 1 species